CCCGCAUUGCCAUCGGCGCCUG
rnacentral:miRNA from 1 species